GAUGAACGCUGGCGGCGUGCCUAAUACAUGCCAGUCGAGCGAACAGACGAGAGUGCUUGCCCUCUCUGACGUUAGCGGCGGACGGGUGAGUAACACGUGGGUAACCUACCUAUAAGACUGGGAUAACUUCGGGAAACCGGAGCUAAUACCGGAUAAUAUUUAGCUUCGCAUGAAGCAAUAGUGAAAGACGGUUCUGCUGUCACUUAUAGAUGGACCCGCGGUGUAUUAGCUAGUUGGUGAGGUAACGGCUCACCAAGGCAACGAUACAUAGCCGACCUGAGAGGGUGAUCGGCCACACUGGGACUGAGACACGGCCCAGACUCCUACGGGAGGCAGCAGUAGGGAAUCUUCCGCAAUGGACGAAAGUCUGACGGAGCAAUGCCGCGUGAGUGAAGAAGGUUUUCGGAUCGUAAAACUCUGUUGUAAGGGAAGAACAAGUACGUUAGUAACUGAACGUACCUUGACGGUACCUUACCAGAAAGCCACGGCUAACUACGUG
rnacentral:rRNA from 1 species